rnacentral:tRNA from 1 species
CCCGCAGUAACUCAGACUGGCUAGAGUGCUCGGCUGUAGACCGAGACCCCUUGGAGAGUCCUCUCUGAGGGUGGCGGGUCAGGUCGCCGGUUCAAAUCCGGCCUGCGGGACCA